rnacentral:rRNA from 1 species
ACGGGUGGGUAACGCGUGGGAACAUACCCUUUUCUACGGAAUAGCUCUGGGAAACUGGAAUUAAUACCGUAUACGCCCUACGGGGGAAAGAUUUAUCGGGGAAGGAUUGGCCCGCGUUGGAUUAGCUAGUUGGUGGGGUAAAGGCCUACCAAGGCGACGAUCCAUAGCUGGUCUGAGAGGAUGAUCAGCCACAUUGGGACUGAGACACGGCCCAAACUCCUACGGGAGGCAGCAGUGGGGAAUAUUGGACAAUGGGCGCAAGCCUGAUCCAGCCAUGCCGCGUGAGUGAUGAAGGCCUUAGGGUUGUAAAGCUCUUUCACCGAUGAAGAUAAUGACGGUAGUCGGAGAAGAAGCCCCGGCUAACUUCGUGCCAGCAGCCGCGGUAAUACGAAGGGGGCUAGCGUUGUUCGGAAUUACUGGGCGUAAAGCGCACGUAGGCGGAUAUUUAAGUCAGGGGUGAAAUCCCAGAGCUCAACUCUGGAACUGCCUUUGAUACUGGGUAUCUUGAGUAUGGAAGAGGUAAGUGGAAUUGCGAGUGUAGAGGUGAAAUUCGUAGA